rnacentral:tmRNA from 1 species
GGCUGGCCGAGCGCACCCAGCUCCUACGGGGGCGCGGAGCGAGACACUGUAGUAGGGGCUACACCCGUAGAAGCCUUCUCCAGACGAGUUUCGGACGCGGGUUCGAUUCCCGCCGCCUCCACCA